GGUUUCAACCUAGUUAAUCAAGGUUAGCUUCGAGUUCGAAUUUUCUUUGCAAAAAGAACAUGUUGAAAUCAACUUUUGGAACCGCUUUUCCGGGGUUUCCGGUGGAGCAAA
rnacentral:sRNA from 1 species